GCAACAUCUCCAUGGUUGGCUUGUCUGGCGGAGUAAGCUGUGCCCUCGGCGCGGGUAUCUUCAGGAGACAGAGCUCCUGGCUGCAGCGAGCCGGGACUUGCCGCGCCCCGGGGCUCCCUCAAUCAGACCCAGCCAGGCAAGCGCGGCCACAUAGGCAAGCGCGGCCACAUAGGCUAGACGCACUAUCUUCUCCUCUACCCCGCGCCGCCCUCCACCUCGGAGCGGGGACGUACGGUGGUGGCGGUGACACAAUGCGAGUGAGUGGAGCCUUUGGAAGGAAUUGGGCCAUGAGAAGAGCCCUCAUGAAUGGGAUUAGUUCCCUUAUAAGAAGAGACACCAAGGAAGUGAUCUUUCUCUGCCCUCUGCUAUGUGAAGACAAGGUAAGAAGACAGCUAUGAACCAAGAAGCAGGCCCUUACCAGACACCAAAUCUGCUGGUGCAUUGAUCUUGGACUUCUCAGCCUCCAGGACUGUGAGAAAUAAAUGUUUAUUGUUGAAGCCACCCAGUCUACAGUAAUUUGUUAUAGCAGCUGAAAUUGACUAAGACAAUUUAAAAAAAUUAAUCUCAUUGACUAUCAAUUUGGAUUCUGGAGCAUACCUGGAUUCAGGUCAUCUGCAGUUUUUUGUUGUUGUUGAUGAUCUUCCUGUCAUAGACAAUGCUGUAACAAACAGACUAAUUGUUCACUGUUGACAUAUAGAAGUACUACUGAUUGGCCAGACAUAGUGGCUCAUGCCUGGAAUCCCAGCACUUUGGGAGGCCAAGGCAGGUGGAUCACUUGAGCCCAGAAGUUUGAGACCAGCCUGGGCAACAUGAUGAAACCCCAUCUCUACAAAAUAAAUAGAAAAAUUAGCUGGGUAUGGUGGCAUGUGCCAGUAGUCCCAGCUACAUGGGAGCCUGAGGUGGGAGGACGACUUGAGCCCAGGAGGUGGAGGUUACAGUGAGCUGAGAUCAUGCCACUGCACUCCAGCCUGGGUGACAGAGUGGGACUCUGUCUAAAAAAAAAAUUGUAUUAUCUGUAAACGGAAAUAUAAAUAAUUUAACUUCUUCUUUUCCAAUUUGGAUUCCCUUUAUUUCUUUCACCUGUAUGAUUGCUUUAGCUAGAGCUUCCGGUAAUAUGUUGAAUAACAGUGAUGACCAGUGGGCAUCCUUGCUGUGUUCCAGAUCUUAGAGAAAAGACUUUCAGUUUUUUUCCCCAUUUAGUAUAUGAGCUGUGGACCUGUAAUAUAUGGCUUUUAUUAUGUUGAGGUAUGUUACUUCUAUACCUAGUUUUCUUAGGUUUUGUUUUUUUUUA
rnacentral:lncRNA from 10 species